GAGACAUGUGGUUAAUUCGAAGCAACGCGAAGAACCUUACCAGGUCUUGACAUCCCUGACAACCCGAGAGAUCGGGCGUUCCCCUUCGGGGGGACAGGGUGACAGGUGGUGCAUGGUUGUCGUCAGCUCGUGUCGUGAGAUGUUGGGUUAAGUCCCGCAACGAGCGCAACCCUCGACCUUAGUUGCCAGCAUUCAGUUGGGCACUCUAAGGUGACUGCCGGCUAAAAGUCGGAGGAAGGUGGGGAUGACGUCAAAUCAUCAUGCCCCUUAUGACCUGGGCUACACACGUGCUACAAUGGGCGGUACAAAGGGUCGCGAACCCGCGAGGGGGAGCCAAUCCCAAAAAGCCGCUCUCAGUUCGGAUUGCAGGCUGCAACUCGCCUGCAUGAAGCCGGAAUCGCUAGUAAUCGCGGAUCAGCAUGCCGCGGUGAAUACGUUCCCGGGCCUU
rnacentral:rRNA from 1 species